rnacentral:rRNA from 1 species
AUAAUGGGUCAGCGACUUAUAUUCUGUAGCAAGGUUAACCGAAUAGGGGAGCCGAAGGGAAACCGAGUCUUAACUGGGCGUUAAGUUGCAGGGUAUAGACCCGAAACCCGGUGAUCUAGCCAUGGGCAGGUUGAAGGUUGGGUAACACUAACUGGAGGACCGAACCGACUAAUGUUGAAAAAUUAGCGGAUGACUUGUGGCUGGGGGUGAAAGGCCAAUCAAACCGGGAGAUAGCUGGUUCUCCCCGAAAGCUAUUUAGGUAGCGCCUCGUGAAUUCAUCUCCGGGGGUAGAGCACUGUUUCGGCAAGGGGGUCAUCCCGACUUACCAACCCGAUGCAAACUGCGAAUACCGGAGAAUGUUAUCACGGGAGACACACGGCGGGUGCUAACGUCCGUCGUGAAGAGGGAAACAACCCAGACCGCCAGCUAAGGUCCCAAAGUCAUGGUUAAGUGGGAAACGAUGUGGGAAGGCCCAGACAGCCAGGAUGUUGGCUUAGAAGCAGCCAUCAUUUAAAGAAAGCGUAAUAGCUCACUGGUCGAGUCGGCCUGCGCGGAAGAUGUAACGGGGCUAAACCAUGCACCGAAGCUGCGGCAGCGACGCUGAUGCGUUGUUGGGUAGGGGAGCGUUCUGUAAGCCUGUGAAGGUGUGCUGUGAGGCAUGCUGGAGGUAUCAGAAGUGCGAAUGCUGACAUAAGUAACGAUAAAGCGGGUGAAAAGCCCGC